AUUGAACGCUGGCGGCAUGCCUUACACAUGCAAGUCGAACGGUAACAGGUCUUCGGAUGCUGACGAGUGGCGAACGGGUGAGUAAUACAUCGGAACGUGCCCGAGAGUGGGGGAUAACGAGGCGAAAGCUUUGCUAAUACCGAAUACGAUCUCAGGAUGAAAGCAGGGGACCGCAAGGCCUUGCGCUCACGGAGCGGCCGAUGGCAGAUUAGGCAGGUGGUGAGAUAAAAGCUUACCAAGCAGACGAUCUGUAGCUGGUCUGAGAGGACGACCAGCCACACUGGGACUGAGAAACGGCCCAGACGCCUACGGGAGGCAGCAGUGGGGAAUUUUGGACAAUGGGCGAAAGCCUGAUCCAGCCAUGCCGCGUGCAGGAUGAAGGCCUUCGGAUUGUAAACUGCUUUUGUACGGAACGAAAAGACUCUUUCUAAUAAAGAGGGUGCAUGACGGUACCGUAAGAAUAAGCACCGGCUAACUACGUGCCAGCCGCCGCGGUAACAC
rnacentral:rRNA from 1 species